GACGAACGCUGGCGGCGUGCUUAACACAUGCAAGUCGAACGGAAAGGCCCUGCUUUUGUGGGGUGCUCGAGUGGCGAACGGGUGAGUAACACGUGAGUAACCUGCCCUUGACUUUGGGAUAACUUCAGGAAACUGGGGCUAAUACCGGAUAGGAGCUCCUGCUGCAUGGUGGGGGUUGGAAAGUUUCGGCGGUUGGGGAUGGACUCGCGGCUUAUCAGCUUGUUGGUGGGGUAGUGGCUUACCAAGGCUUUGACGGGUAGCCGGCCUGAGAGGGUGACCGGCCACAUUGGGACUGAGCUACGGCCCAGACUCCUACGGGAGGCAGCAGUGGGGAAUAGUGCAUAAUGGGCGGAAGCCUGAUGCAGCAACGCCGCGUGCGGGAUGACGGCCUUCGGGUUGUAAACCGCUUUCGCCUGUGACGAAGCGUGAGUGACGGUAAUGGGUAAAGAAGCACCGGCUAACUCCGUG
rnacentral:rRNA from 1 species